UGCAGCUCAAAUGGUAGAGCGCUCGCUUUGUAUGCGAGAAGUGCAGGGUUCGAUCCCCCCUGCA
rfam:Populus trichocarpa isolate Nisqually-1 chromosome 5, whole genome shotgun sequence.